rnacentral:rRNA from 1 species
UACGUAGGGUGCGAGCGUUGUCCGGAAUUACUGGGCGUAAAGAGCUCGUAGGUGGUUUGUCGCGUUGUUCGUGAAAACUCACAACUCAAUUGUGGGCGUGCGGGCCGAUACGGGCAGACUGGAGUACUGCAGGGGGAGACUGGAAUUCCUGGUGUAGCGGUGAAAAUGGCGCAGAUAUCAGGAGGAACACCGGUGGCGAAG